AUUGAACGCUGGCGGCAUGCCUUAAACAUGCAAGUCGAACGGCAUCGCGGGAAAGCUUGCUUUCCUGGCGGCGAGUGGCGAACGGGUGAGUAACACAUCGGAACGUACCGGCUAGUGGGGGAUAACCCGUCGAAAGACGGGCUAAUACCGCAUACGCUCUUCGGAGGAAAGCAGGGGACCUUUGGGCCUUGCGCUAGCCGAGCGGCCGAUGUCCGAUUAGCUAGUUGGUGGGGUAAAGGCCUACCAAGGCGACGAUCGGUAGCGGGUCUGAGAGGACGAUCCGCCACACUGGGACUGAGACACGGCCCAGACUCCUACGGGAGGCAGCAGUGGGGAAUCUUGGACAAUGGGGGCAACCCUGAUCCAGCAAUGCCGCGUGGGUGAAGAAGGCCUUCGGGUUGUAAAGCCCUUUCGGCAGGGAAGAAAUCGGCGGGGCGAAUAACCCUGCUGGAUGACGGUACCUGCAGAAGAAGCACCGGCUAACUACGUG
rnacentral:rRNA from 1 species